rnacentral:rRNA from 1 species
UGAGGAAUAUUGGGCAAUGCCCGCAAGGGUGACCCAGCAACGCCGCGUGGAGGAUGAAUGUCGUAAGAUUGUAAACUCCUGUUAGAGGGGAAGAAUAGUACCGGUUGGACCGGUAUAUGACUGUACCCUCAGAGAAAGCCCCGGCUAACUACGUGCCAGCAGCCGCGGUAAUACGUAGGGGGCAAGCGUUGUCCGGAUUUACUGGGUGUAAAGGGCGUGCAGGCGGGAUAAAAAGUCAGUGGUGAAAUCCUACAGCUUAACUGUAGAACUGCCUUUGAUACUUUUAUUCUUGAGUUCGGGAGAGAGAGACGGAAUUCCAGGUGUAGUGGUGAAAUACGUAGAUAUCUGGAAGAACACCAGUUGCGAAGGCGGUCUCUUGGUCCGACACUGACGCUGAGGCGCGAAAGCGUGGGGAGCAAACA